GAGGUGACAGGUGGUGCAUGGUUGUCGUCAGCUCGUGUCGUGAGAUGUUGGGUUAAGUCCCGCAACGAGCGCAACCCUCGACCUUAGUUGCCAGCAUUCAGUUGGGCACUCUAAGGUGACUGCCGGCUAAAAGUCGGAGGAAGGUGGGGAUGACGUCAAAUCAUCAUGCCCCUUAUGACCUGGGCUACACACGUGCUACAAUGGGCGGUACAAAGGGUCGCGAACCCGCGAGGGGGAGCCAAUCCCAAAAAGCCGCUCCCAGUUCGGAUUGCAGGCUGCAACUCGCCUGCAUGAAGCCGGAAUCGCUAGUAAUCGCAGAUCAGCAUGCUGCGGUGAAUACGUUCCCGGGUCUU
rnacentral:rRNA from 1 species